rnacentral:rRNA from 1 species
CCUACGGGUGGCAGCAGUAGGGAAUGUUGCGCAAUGGGGGAAACCCUGACGCAGCAACGCCGCGUGAUCGAUGAAGCCCUUCGGGGUGUAAAGAUCUGUCAGUGGGGACGAAACCUGACGGUACCAACAGAGGAAGCACAGGCUAACUCCGUGCCAGCAGCCGCGGUAAUACGGGGGGUGCAAGCGUUGUCAGGAAUAAUUGGGCGUCAAGAGUUCGUAGGUGGCACGUUCAGUCUGGUGUUAAAGGCGGAAGCUAAACUUCCGUAGGGCACUGGAUACGGGCGAGCUUGACUGCGGUAGAGGUCACUGUACUUCCUGUUGUAGCGGUUAACUGCGUAGCUCUC